rnacentral:misc_RNA from 1 species
CGCGGCGGCCGAAGCCUUAGGCUUCUUCGCCGGGGUCGCGGGUGCUGGGGCUUCGGUCGCUACUGCUGUAUCGGCCAUUUUUUGUUGUUAUUAUUAUUUUUUUUCUUUUUCAAUUAAAACACGCACGAACAAACUGUCACACGGAUAGAACACGUGUGUGUGCGGGUCUUCCUGACAGGCCCGAAGGUCUGUCCGGGUACGGGCCUCGAGGUUACCCUCUUUACCCGGGCUUUCUUCUCCGGGGCUUCGCCUCCGGGGUCAUAUCCUUUCGGCCCUAUUGGGCCAGGGUCGCAAUGCCCUUGGGGUCAUCGUCUCAUUUAGGGUGUCUCAUCUUGGAUAGGUCUCUCCUUGAUAUUGGUCUUCUAUGUUAUAGUGAUGGGAUGUCCUCCCCCGCGUCGUCCAAAUCGUCGCCACCGCUGUCCGCGCUGGGUCGGCUCGGCGGUAGUUGCAGGAGCUCGCGUGGUAGAGGACGCCCUUCUGGCGGUCUCGCAUGUAGGGGU